GUGGCGUCUUAACAUGUCCAGGACGUGCCUUCCAAUCUUUGCUUCAUUAACGCGCUGCCAGCACUUGGGAGGAAUAUACAAAGCUAUGAUGCAGAAAUGAACGCGGGCGCAAUGUAGACGCUCGUUCUGUUCGGCCGGCCGAGGUUUCGGAGAACAUCUAUCGCGCCACGUCUUUCCAUGCAGAACCGGGAGGACAUGUUGGUCCAUAUUUCAUUUCUAGCCAAAUGAGUGGGGAGUACAAGGCGUGAAGGGGAAAAAAUCCGAUCCCGCAGAGAUUGAACAAUGGGCAUCAAUUCAGCCGGACAAUGAAUUGCGAGCGGGCUGCUUGGGUUUCAAGACACGUCCACAGCAGUUUGGAUUCCUGCGCGGACUCCCAGAGACCCGGCACAAGUUGUGUGAGAAAAUGAGAGGCGACCGAGCAGGGGUGGGUGGCGUGGGUGAGGGAGAGAGUUACGUCUCUUGUCCACUUUGUGCCCCCACGUUCGGUGUCAGUCGAAUUUGGAGACGAAAAGAGCCGAAAACAAGAUAAACUACACCACCUGUCACGGGAGAAACUCGCCGACUCGAUCAAGGAUUUCAUGUCGUUACUUAAUUCAAACUUUAAUGCAAUUCCUGACCUACGAAGAACGGGAACUCGUGGCCGUAAAUUAACAUUCGUCAAAAUCAUAGGAACAUUCAGAUAAUGGUGUUGAGGAGAACGUCUAUGAAAUCUGUGUGUUAUCCGGCGAAAUUUGGAGUGUGUAUGUGAGGGGCUGUGUUAGUUACACGAUCACCGUCGUCACAUUCGGACUGGCAAAAUCUUUCAACCAGCCAAACGUCAUUCUAUCCAAGGUCUCUUCUGAAAUGAAAAUCUCCAUUACCCCUGCAGAAGAUGCACAAGAUCCAAGCGGAAUGACACGCUGCCUGUGCACGAUUCUUGAAAGCAGGUCCUGGCUCUGUUGCUGAUGGUUCUCCAACCACUCCCAGUGCCCGACCCAGCCGCCGUGUCUUCAGAGUGAGACGCCCAGCUUCUUCCAGGAGCUGUGUUGAGUCACCGGGAGAAGAAGCCCUCAGCCUGUCCAGCAACAUGGCCCAGCUUCCCCCCUUCAGCUGUAAACACUCUGAGCCAUCAUAAGGUGUGACGCGGCAAGGGAACGGCUACCGUGGGUAAGCGAUCUCACCCAGUAGAUGAGAUCUCAAAGCCUCUCUGAAGAAAUGCAACGUCCCCACUAAUCCUGGGAAUCCCUGGCUCACGACCACUCGGAGUGGAGGAGGAACAUUUGGGAUGGGAUUGGGGACCUCACAUCCCUGCUCAGGAACUCACUGAAGCCACAAGUAAGCAGUGGAAGGAAUGGACCAACUCACAAAGUGCCGACCACCCCAGUGGUCACCACCACCUCAUCUGUGGAAGGGUCUGAGGUUCCAACACUGGCCUCAGCCCCUCUGAACCCAGAGGACCAGAGUGGAAGCAUCAUCCUCAAUCCUGUGGGACUGCCUCAGGAGAGAAGAAGAUACAAGACCUGUAUUUCUGAAUGUAAAACCUAUUGUCAAUGGAUUCAGAGUAACCUCGAUAUGUACAGCCCUCUGCUCAAUAUGUGUCAUUAAAUCUCAAUGAAUAAAAUGUUCAUGUCUCUGCCCUAAAGCCCGCCAGUGUGUCAGACACAAACACUGACACUACCUGUCUCCUGCUCCUCUCCAUACGUGGGUCUGGGAGUUACAACACACCACACCAGACACAUUAAAUAAUCACUGACACACGGAUCACCAUCAUGCUCUGUGCUCACCUCCACACAUGUCAGCACUGCCCAUGGGUCAGGGUGCUCGGGAGGAGGGAGGGC